rnacentral:misc_RNA from 1 species
GUUGAAUGGCAAAAAAGAAUCCAUAUUAAUUGUCACAAUCCCUUGAAAUCAAAUGUCAGACUUUAUACGGCCAGUAGUUCUUUACUUCAAAUUUAAUUACCAUUAGCCUGUUAGGGAAUAAGAUCGAGCUUCUGAGUCUGGCUGUCUAACAUAAAAGCAACUUUUCUUCUUUUCAAAAUUUUACUUUUGAGAGAAGUAACUGGCUUUGACAAAAAAGAUGUCCAGCCAUAUCCAUGGCCAUUGUGGCCUUAGAAUUUGAAUAUCAGUGUCAGAACGAGGGUAUUCACUGGGAUGCAAUACAUAACAACAAAUGGACAGUUGAAAACUUACUCUUGAAAUCUAAUACAUUUCAAAAGAACAUGACCUCACGCCCUGACAAAUCAAAAGGCAUUACCAAUGCCUCCGGAUUGAACAAUAAUGAAAAUUUUCCAGAAAAAAGAGGGCCAUUGAACUUGUUGUUUCUAAUUCUCCCUUGAGGUAGAAUUAAUUGAGCUACAAAAAUCAAUUGAUUUGAUAACACAACAUCUAACUUUUUCCCCAAAAAGAAAAUCAUCUAACUGUGCAACAAUAAUUCAAAAAGAAUGGCCCUCAACAAUUCAAACUGCAUAUUUUAAGGCCCACUGAGAUGCCCCAGCAGGCCAGCACCGUCUCAACUUAAUGCAGGUGAAAAAGACAAGUCCUAAAAUCUUUGUUUUGAUAAUGAAAGGAAUAAAUCACAAUGCAAGGAAUACAGAGACCCUCAACUUCAAAAAUGGACACAAACCGUGGCUUGAUAGUGUGACUUAUAUCGAGAAAUAAGACAAACCACAAAUACAAAAUGUGAGAAGUUGAAGGGUCCCAAAAACAUCAAAAGAGAAUCUUCACUGGACAGGGUAUGAAAAACAUAUAACUACAGCACAUUACAACCACAACCCAUUAAUUAACAGCAAAGAUCAUUGCUGUGCCCCUUUAGCAUUUAACAAAAGCCAAUACACCAAAUAGGUAAUAAAAAGAGAACAAUCGGCAGCAAAAUCUAGAAACAUUUAUUAUGCAGUCCUUAGAUAGCAU